CACCAACUUUAUCAUUACAUUGAGAACAGCUUUGAGCAAAAAUACUUGCUAUCGCUGCAUCCAAUGGUUCUUCAGGUUUAAUAUUUUUCAUCACCUUAUAACCAUCUUUUGUUACCUCUGGAGCGCCAUAGGGUUUACUGAUACCUACUGUUAACCCCUUUGGCCCACCAGUUAUUCCUACUGUUGAAUCUACUACCGCUGCAACGCUGCGAACAACCUUUUGUAGUUGUUCACCUGAUAUUACUACAUUAGCCAUUUUUAUCACCUCUCAUUAUUAAUUAAAAAACUUACUUUUAUGCUUAAAAAAU